GUUAAAAUAUUAUUUGUGCCUCUUUUUCUGUUAAUAUUCUCCAGGAAUUCAACUACUAAAACAACUAUGACUGGUGACAAUAACAGUUCUCUAUAUUUUAAAUUCCAAAAUGCUUGUUAUUCAGGUAAAAUUAUAAGAGUUAAAUUCAUUACUCUUGUUACAGUGCUAAUGCUAUUGACCUUCUCUUCUGGGUGUUCAACAACUAAAGUUUGGAGACCAAAACUAAAAAGGAACAAAUGAGGGCAUUCACCAAGCAGACAGUCACAGAGUUCAUCAUGGCAGGGUACUAGCCAGUACGAAAAAAGGAAGAGGUCCCUACUUGCCACGGGCCUCAUCAGAUCCAAGUCUAGCCCCAAUCUUUGCCCCUUGUCAACAGGAAGCAGCUCCAGAAGAAGAGACCUUCACCCAACUAUCAUAAAACAAAAGCCUGGAAUGAUAGGUCUCCCACUACCUCAGCAGCUAUUAUGUAUAGUAGCUGCCCUCUUCCUAUCCUGCCUUGCCCCCUCCCCUGUGUGACAUCAUGCCAAGAUGGUUGCUCCCACCAAAGAACAAACCCUUCUUCCCAGCAUGCCCUUGUUCCCACCUAGAGAGUAACCUAAUACUUGCUCACCUCCUACCACUAGUGAUGUCACCAGCUCCUCCAUUCUCUAGUCACUACCUCACUCAAUCCCGCCUCAGCCCCUACAAACCCCACCCCAGUCUCUAUAAAAGACUCUCCCUGCCCUGGCCAUAUUGCUUUUGUCUCUCCUUUGUUCAGAGACAGCCCGGCAGAUCUAUUCCCCUAAUAAAGGCUUGUUGUGGCCUGGUCUGGUCUUGGCUUUCAGCCUUUUACCUGGCAGAAUCAUACUUUGUGAAUCAUAUCUAAGAAUUCUUUACCUAGCAACAGUUAAUAUUUUCUCUUAUUAUUUCUUCUAAAAAUUUGAUGGAGGUAAGGUUGUAACUCAGUGCAGCACACUUGCCCAGCAUACACAAGGCCCUGGGUUCAACCCCCAACACUGCAAAAAAUAAAAUUGUCUUAGUCACUUUUAUUAUUCCCAGGAUACAAUACCCAACACUCACAACUUAAAGGGG
ensembl:lncRNA